UACGAGGGGGGCUAGCGUUGCUCGGAAUUACUGGGCGUAAAGCGCACGUAGGCGGUCUUUUAAGUCGGGGGUGAAAUCCUGGAGCUCAACUCCAGAACUGCCUUCGAUACUGGAAGACUUGAGUUCGGGAGAGGUGAGUGGAACUGCGAGUGUAGAGGUGAAAUUCGUAGAUAUUCGCAAGAACACCAGUGGCGAAGGCGGCUCACUGGCCCGGUACUGACGCUGAGGUGCGAAAGCGUGGGGAGCAAACAGG
rnacentral:rRNA from 1 species